GAUUGUGACAUUAGUUAUGUAAAUCUGUUUAUUUGCUAAAAUUCAUAAAACAGCAUUGCAAAAACUCAAUUAUACCGUAGGAUAAUUAAAAUAAAAUAAAAAUAAUACAUACACAUGUAUAUUAGAAAGAGUGGCAAAGUCAAUUAACAACCUGAUUUUACACCUUAAGAAACUAGAAAAAGAAGAGCAAACUGAGUCCACAGCUAGCAGUAGAAAGAGAACAAUGGCGUGGAGGCAAAAACAAGAGAAUAGAAAAACGACAUGAAGAAAAUCAACAACACCAAAAGCUGGUUCUUUAAAAAAGAUCAACAAAAUUGACAAAUCUUUACCUAGGUUGACUGAAAUAUAAAGUGAGAAAAACCACAUUACCAAAAUCAGGAAAGAAAGUAGAACAUCACUACAGAUUUUACAGAAAUAAAAAGGAUUAUAAAAGAAUAUUAUGAACAAUUCCCUUCAGGAGAAGAACCGGAUGGCAGGGGAACAGUGAUGUUUUACUACUUGAAUUUUAUCCUGUGUGCACGAAUAAUAUAUUUAACCAAUAACAACAAACUUCUGAGCACAAGAACAGAUCAAGAAGAAAAUAAUAAUUAAAAUAUAAAUUAUUCUUACUGUAUUCUCUAAAGUUUUUGCAAUACGCUUGUGUCACUUUCAUGAUUAAAAUAAAAAUAAUUUUUAAAUGUUAGUAAUGUCCAUGUGCAUACAAUUUUGGCUGUCUUUCUUUAACUUACUAUCAUAUCAAGUCUUACCUCUUCUCAGACUAGAGAAAUUGAGUGAAAACAGCAUCUUCUCCUUGGCUGGUGAGCGGGAACUGGAAACCCUAAGCUUUGCAUUCCCAGGUCAACACACCUGCUAGGAAUAGAAAACCCUUUUUAGCCUCAGGAAUACACUUUUUUCUUUCCAAAAGUAAACUGCAACAUAUCAACAGUUAACAAGAAUGAAGGUAAACUUUUACAGCUUAUUUAUUCCACUGAAGUGAACACUAGCUACCCACUUAGCCAAGUACCCUAGAUUGCUUCAGGCAAGUGAACCCUUGAGCAGGAGAUAUAAUUGGGAAUUACCUCCUUUAGCAUUUAAUCUUUUUCACCCAGUUAUUUCUGUAUAGCUUUCCUUCUCUGAAUACUCUUUCAUCAUUUACUCUUUGGGGAAUCUGAGCAUUGCAUUGCCUUUUGAGAUCUGGUUGUAAGGCAUUUGAAGUCCUUUGGUAAGAGCAGGGUUUCCCACUGUGAGAAAGGUAUUUUACUAGCAACAGCUGUUACCUCGGGGUGAGGGGUAAGGGGUGGAUUGUGCAGGACUUUUACUUCCUAAAUGAAAUAUUUCUGAAAUGUUUGAAAUGUUUACAAUGAGUAUCAAUUGUUUUUGUAAUCAGAAUAUAAUGUGAACUCAUAUUUCUUUAGCAUGU
rnacentral:lncRNA from 1 species